GGGGGUGUCCGGACGCCUGGUGGGUUCCGCGGCCUUCAAAGCCGUUGAGGGGUCGUUAGCGCGGCUCCUGGUGGGUUCGAUUCCCAUCCACCCCC
rnacentral:tRNA from 1 species